rnacentral:rRNA from 1 species
UAGGGAAUCUUCGGCAAUGGACGAAAGUCUGACCGAGCAACGCCGCGCGAGUGAAGAAGGUUUUCGGAUCGUAAAACUCUGUUGUUAGAGAAGAACAAGGACGUUAGUAACUGAACGUCCCCUGACGGUAUCUAACCAGAAAGCCACGGCUAACUACGUGCCAGCAGCCGCGGUAAUACGUAGGUGGCAAGCGUUGUCCGGAUUUAUUGGGCGUAAAGCGAGCGCAGGCGGUUACUUAAGUCUGAUGUGAAAGCCCCCGGCUCAACCGGGGAGGGUCAUUGGGAACAGGGAGACUUGAGUGCAGAAGGGGAGAGUGGAAUUCCAUGUGUAGCGGUGAAAUGCGUAGAUAUAUGGAGGAACACCAGUGGCGAAGGCGGCUCUCUGGUCUGUAACUGACGCUGAGGCUCGAAAGCGUGGGGAGCAAACAGG